rnacentral:rRNA from 1 species
UACGGUGAAGCCGCGAAUAGCUCAUUACAACAGCCAUCGUUUAUUAGAAUAUCGUUAUCCUACUUGGAUAACUGUGGCAAUUCUAGAGCUAAUACAUGCAAUAAAGCUCUGCCCGCAAGGAACGAGCGCAUUUAUUAGAAUAAAAACCAAUCGGGUUUCGGCUCGUAAUUUGGUGAAUCUGAAUAACUUUGCCAAUCGCACAGUCCUAGUACUGGCGAUGUAUCUUUCAAGUGUCUGCCUUAUCAACUUUCGAUGGUACGCUAUACGCCUACCAUGGUAGUAACGGGUAACGGAGAAUAAGGGUUCGACUCCGGAGAGGGAGCCUGAGAAACGGCUACCACAUCCAAGGAAGGCAGCAGGCGCGCAAAUUACCCACUUCCAGAACGGAGAGGUAGUGACGAAAAAUAACGAGACAGUCCUCUUCGAGGUCUGUCAUCGGAAUGGGUACAAUUUAAAUCCUUUAACGAGGAUCUAUUGGAGGGCAAGUCUGGUGCCAGCAGCCGCGGUAAUUCCAGC